AAAACUUUCAACAACGGAUCUCUUGGUUCUGGCAUCGAUGAAGAACGCAGCGAAAUGCGAUAAGUAAUGUGAAUUGCAGAAUUCAGUGAAUCAUCGAAUCUUUGAACGCACAUUGCGCCCCGUGGCAUUCCGCGGGGCAUGCCUGUUCGAGCGUCAUUA
rnacentral:rRNA from 1 species